rnacentral:hammerhead_ribozyme from 1 species
UUCCAGCUGACGAGUCCCAAAUAGAACGAAAUGCGCGUCCUGGAU